rnacentral:rRNA from 1 species
UACGUAGGGGGCAAGCGUUGUCCGGAAUCAUUGGGCGUAAAGCGCGUGUAGGCGGGUCGUUAAGUCUGCUCUGAAAGUCCAAGGCUCAACCUUGGGAUGCGGGUGGAUACUGGCGACCUCGAGUCCGGAAGAGGCGAGUGGAAUUCCUGGUGUAGCGGUGAAAUGCGCAGAUAUCGGGAGGAACACCAGUAGCGAAGGCGGCUCGCUGGGCCAUUCCUGACGCUGAGACGCGAAAGCUAGGGGAGCGAACAGG